rnacentral:rRNA from 1 species
CCUACGGUAGGCUUCAGUCGAGAAUCAUUCACCAUGGGGGAAACCCUGAUGGUGCGACGCCGCGUGGGGGAAUGAAGGUCUUCGGAUUGUAAACCCCUGUCAUGUGGGAGCAAAUUAAAAAGAUAGUACCACAAGAGGAAGAGACGGCUAACUCUGUGCCAGCAGCCGCGGUAAUACAGAGGUCUCAAGCGUUGUUCGGAAUCACUGGGCGUAAAGCGUGCGUAGGCUGUUUCGUAAGUCGUGUGUGAAAGGCGCGGGCUCAACCCGCGGACGGCACAUGAUACUGCGAGACUAGAGUAAUGGAGGGGGAACCGGAAUUCUCGGUGUAGCAGUGAAAUGCGUAGAUAUCGAGAGGAACACUCGUGGCGAAGGCGGGUUCCUGGACAUUAACUGACGCUGAGGCACGAAGGCCAGGGGAGCGAAAGGGAUUAGAUACCCGGGUAGUC